rnacentral:miRNA from 1 species
UUGUGUGUGUGUGCACGUGCAUAUAGUGGGCCCUAAUUACACACACACACACACACACACACACACACACACAUACACACAAACA